CUCCCACUCCCGGGUCCCCGCUCCGGCUGCCAGGGCUGGCGGGGAAGGUGCAGGGCAGGACGAAAAGCGGGCCCGGCUCCCGCGGCCGGGGCGAGGAGGGGCGAGACUUUAGGUUGAAUGAGAGAGAGGAGUCAAGGAUAAAGACAAGGUUAAGGACUUGUGAGACAGGCAGACUUCGAAAGGAUAGAUACCAACCAACUCAGUUACAUCUGAAUGGAUGGAAUAAAGAGCAACAACAAAGAAGAACUUGAGGAAAAGUAAAGAUAUUUGAUGCUUCAUGCAUUUGUAAAAUAAAAAAGCAAAACAUGCAAACAUACAUUUAUUUUUCAAUAAAACUAUUGAACUUC